rnacentral:rRNA from 1 species
GUGGGGAAUCUUGGACAAUGGGCGCAAGCCUGAUCCAGCCAUGCCGCGUGAGUGAAGAAGGCCUUAGGGUUGUAAAACUCUUUCGCCGGAGAAGAUAAUGACGGUAUCCGGAGAAGAAGCCCCGGCUAACUUCGUGCCAGCAGCCGCGGUAAUCCGAAGGGGGCUAGCGUUGUUCGGAAUUACUGGGCGUAAAGCGCACGUAGGCGGAUUUGUAAGUAGGGGGUGAAAUCCCCAGGCCCAACCUGGGAACUGCCUUCUAGACUGCAAGUCUGGAGAUCAGGAGAGGCGAGUGGAAUACCGAGUGUAGAGGUGAAAUUCGUAGAUAUUCGGUGGAACACCAGUGGCGAAGGCGACUCGCUGGACUGAUACUGACGCUGAGGUGCGAAAGCGUGGGGAGCAA